UAGGGAAUCUUCCGCAAUGGGCGAAAGCUUGCCGGAGCAACGCCGCGUGAGUGAUGAAGGUCUUCGGAUCGUAAAACUCUGUUAUUAGGGAAGAACAAAUGUGUAAGUAACUAUGCACGUCUUGACGGUACCUAAUCAGAAAGCCACGGCUAACUACGUGCCAGCAGCCGCGGUAAUACGUAGGUGGCAAGCGUUAUCCGGAAUUAUUGGGCGUAAAGCGCGCGUAGGCGGUUUUUUAAGUCUGAUGUGAAAGCCCACGGCUCAACCGUGGAGGGUCAUUGGAAACUGGAAAACUUGAGUGCAGAAGGGGAAAGUGGAAUUCCAUGUGUAGCGGUGAAAUGCGCAGAGAUAUGGAGGAACACCAGUGGCGAAGGCGACUUUCUGGUCUGUAACUGACGCUGAUGUGCGAAAGCGGGGGGGUCAAACAGG
rnacentral:rRNA from 1 species